GUACUCACUUUGGCAGCACAUAUAUUAAAAUUGGAAUGAUACAGAGAAGAUUAGAAUGACCCCUGUGCAAGGAUGACAUGCAAAUUCAUGACGCCUUCCAUAUUUAC